rnacentral:pre_miRNA from 1 species
AGUAAAAGACACCCUGGAUUUCUAUAUCUAAUGUUUGAUCUUCCGUCUUACAUAAAAUUUUUUUCUAAUUAGUAUUUUUAUUAUUGUUAGAUGAUAAAACAUAAUUAAUACUUUAUGUUUGACUUGUCUUUUUAAUUUUUUAUAAUUUUUUUAAAUAAGAUAAACGGUAAAACGUUGGACACGGAAACUAGUG